rnacentral:rRNA from 1 species
GCCUACACAUGCAGUCGAGCGGUAGCACAGAGAGCUUGCUCUCGGGUGACGAGCGGCGGACGGGUGAGUAAUGUCUGGGAAACUGCCUGAUGGAGGGGGAUAACUACUGGAAACGGUAGCUAAUACCGCAUAAUGUCGCAAGACCAAAGUGGGGGACCUUCGGGCCUCAUGCCAUCAGAUGUGCCCAGAUGGGAUUAGCUAGUAGGUGGGGUAACGGCUCACCUAGGCGACGAUCCCUAGCUGGUCUGAGAGGAUGACCAGCCACACUGGAACUGAGACACGGUCCAGACUCCUACGGGAGGCAGCAGUGGGGAAUAUUGCACAAUGGGCGCAAGCCUGAUGCAGCCAUGCCGCGUGUGUGAAGAAGGCCUUCGGGUUGUAAAGCACUUUCAGCGGGGAGGAAGGCGAUAAGGUUAAUAA